AGGCAUGUGCACAAAAAAACAAUUUUCGAGGAGUUUCAUAAGUAAAGCAAUUAAACAUUUUAAACUGUAGAAAUAUAGGUAGAAGGUAGGUAUUAAAGGCAUUUUUAAAAUGUCACGGGGAGUGAACCGUUAAAUCCCACCUUGUAUACGUGCCUGUUAAGUAGGUAUAAUUACCUAUCUGGUAACAACUAAUUAGGUGUCUACAUAACCAUGGCUGUUAUUGGAGGGGAGGGUUAGAACUCCCAAACCCCCUUAGCUACAGCCUUUA